GGCUCCAAGUUUGCUUCUGGAUGGAAGGGAAUAUGGACUAGAGCUGAUACCCCCUGCACCCUGGUGAAGAAAUGCACCCUGAGGCCAGAAAAUAGUAUAAAGCCAUCUGGCUGCAACAUCCCAGCAGCUUGAAAAGCAAAGUCACGUAGUAGAGCCAGAGAGAAAUUUGCCCUGGGCCUGAUAUUCAUGAAGGCUUUCCACUUCAGACUCGAUAUCAUUGCCAAGUCAGUGUGUUUGGGAGAAAUCAGAAGCCAACACACUAGAAAAGUUGCAGGAAAUUCCUAGGGGAACCCACAAAGUCAGUUCCUUGCUGGAAACAUAUUCAUCCUCCAGAUGAAUCCAGUGCAUUGGAUGGGCUCAGAUGCACAGGUCACGCAGGCAGACCCCUACUGAAAAGAACAACAGUGGAAGGCAGAUGAAACUCAGAUUGUGGAGUCCGAGAGCCAUGUGGGCCCACUCCAGUUACCUCUACCCCUGGUCCGUGACCAGAGAAUCCUUCAGCAGCAACAGCAGGGAUGUUUAUUUCACUGACUGCAUGAGCUUCAACACUCUCUCCACCUUCUCUACCAACUACCAGUCCCUGG
rnacentral:lncRNA from 1 species